GCUAUGCGAUAGCGUGAACGUAACGUUUAUGAGGAAAGUCCGAGCAUCAUAGAGCAGGGUAGCUGAUAACAUCAGCCGAGGGUGACCUUAGAGCAAGUGCAACAGAAAUAUACCGCCGCUUUUGCGGUAAGGGUGGAAAGGCGAGGUAAGAGCUCACCGGGGUAAUAGAGAUAUUGCUGCCAUGUAAACCUUAUCCGAUGCAACACCAAUGGUAAUCGUCAAGUCAAUGGCUGCUCGUCAGGCUUGCGGUUAUAGGUGGCUUGAACCGUUCGGCGACGAACGGUCUAGAUAGAUUAUCGCACACGACAAAACUCGGCUUAUCGGCUUAGUC
rnacentral:RNase_P_RNA from 1 species